rnacentral:rRNA from 1 species
UACGUAGGGUGCAAGCGUUGUCCGGAAUUAUUGGGCGUAAAGAGCUCGUAGGCGGUUUGUCGCGUCUGCUGUGAAAACUCGGGGCUUAACCCCGGGCCUGCAGUGGGUACGGGCAGACUAGAGUGCGGUAGGGGAGACUGGAAUUCCUGGUGUAGCGGUGAAAUGCGCAGAUAUCAGGAGGAACACCGGUGGCGAAGGCGGGUCUCUGGGCCAAAACUGACGCUGAGGAGCGAAAGCGUGGGGAGCGAACAGG